AGUGGAAUGAUUGAGUUGAAUGGUGCUUCCAUUCUAAGUUUUCUGAGGAAUCUCCAUAUUGCUUUCCAAAGUAAUUGUACCAAUUUACAUUCCCACUAGCAAU
rnacentral:pre_miRNA from 1 species